GCACACGAAAAUCGUCAAAAUGAGGCGUAUGCUCGCUCCGGGGCUCGUUUGACCUUCCAAAUGGCCCAGAAAAGCCGUGAUGGCCAACCGUAUGCAUAGACAACGUCUUGACGGACGUCCACGAACAAAUUUGGCAUUUUUGACGUCGGAAUCCCGAUCACCCAAAAAAUGGUGUGCAAUAGCACACGAAAAUCGUCAAAAUGAGGCGUAUGCUCGCUUCGGGGCUCGUUUGACCUUCCAAAUGGCCGGAAAAGCCGUGAUGGCCAACCGUAUGCAUAGACAACGUCUUGACGGACGUCCACGAACAAAUUUGGCAUUUUUGACGUCGGAAUCCCGAUCACCCAAAAAAUGGUGUGCAAUAGCACACGAAAAUCGUCAAAAUGAGGCGUAUGCUCGCUUCGGGGCUCGUUUGACCUUCCAAAUGGCCCAGAAAAGCCGUGAUGGCCAACCGUAUGCAUAGACAACGUCUUGACGGACGUCCACGAACAAAUUUGGCAUUUUUGACGUCGGAAUCCCGAUCACCCAAAAAAUGGUGUGCAAUAGCACACGAAAAUCGUCAAAAUGAGGCGUAUGCUCGCUUCGGGGCUCGUUUGACCUUCCAAAUGGCCCAGAAAAGCCGUGAUGGCCAACCGUAUGCAUAGACAACGUCUUGACGGACGUCCACGAACAAAUUUGGCAUUUUUGACGUCGGAAUCCCGAUCACCCAAAAAAUGGUGUGCAAUAGCACACGAAAAUCGUCAAAAUGAGGCGUAUGCUCGCUUCGGGGCUCGUUUGACCUUCCAAAUGGCCCAGAAAAGCCGUGAUGGCCAACCGUAUGCAUAGACAACGUCUUGACGGACGUCCACGAACAAAUUUGGCAUUUUUGACGUCGAAAUCCCGAUCACCCAAAAAAUGGUGUGCAAUAGCACACGAAAAUCAUCAAAAUGAGGCGUAUUUUCGCUUCGGGGCUCGUUUGACCUUCAAAUGGGUCGGAAAAGCCGUGAUGGCCAACCGUAUGCAUAGACAACGUCUUGACGGACGUCCACGAACAAAUUUGGCAUUUUUGACGUCGGAAUCCCGAUCACCCAAAAAAUGGUGUGCAAUAGCACACGAAAAUCGUCAAAAUGAGGCGUAUGCUCGCUUUGGGGCUCAUUUGAC
rnacentral:lncRNA from 1 species